UAAUCACACCACCAUAGAACCCACUAUUUUGUGUUGUGUGGUUACUCCCAUUGCUUCCUUUGGUGUGGUCCACUUGAGCCUUGGAACUGCCUCAUUUUUGUGUGAUUUCAUUUAAGCCACCAUUAUCUUGGAGUUACAGUGACAAAUUUAUGAAUACAGUAGCAUUAAAAAGACAAACGACCAUAUCAAUGUUGAAGUAAAAGAAACUCUGUAUAAAUGGAAUCACUUAGAACAAAAUCUCAUUGAAAUCACAGAAGAAUCUCAGAUACCAAAAUAAGAGAAAAUCCAAAAACCCAACAAAAAUCACUUCAUACAAAAAAAAAAAAAAACAAAAGAAAA